rnacentral:rRNA from 1 species
GCGGAGGAAAAGAAACCAACAGGGAUUGCCUUAGUAGCGGCGAGUGAAGCGGCAAAAGCUCAAAUUUGAAAUCUGGCUCUUUCAGAGUCCGAGUUGUAAUUUGAAGAAGGUAUCUUUGGGUCUGGCUCUUGUCUAUGUUUCUUGGAACAGAACGUCACAGAGGGUGAGAAUCCCGUGCGAUGAGAUGAUCCAGGCCUAUGUAAAGUUCCUUCGAAGAGUCGAGUUGUUUGGGAAUGCAGCUCUAAGUGGGUGGUAAAUUCCAUCUAAAGCUAAAUAUUGGCGAGAGACCGAUAGCGAACAAGUACAGUGAUGGAAAGAUGAAAAGAACUUUGAAAAGAGAGUGAAAAAGUACGUGAAAUUGUUGAAAGGGAAGGGCUUGAGAUCAGACUUGGUAUUUUGUAUGUUACUUCUUCGGGGGUGGCCUCUACAGUUUAUCGGGCCAGCAUCAGUUUGGGCGGUAGGAGAAUUGCGUUGGAAUGUGGCACGGCUUCGGUUGUGUGUUAUAGCCUUCGUCGAUACUGCCAGCCUAGACUGAGGACUGCGGUUUAUACCUAGGAUGUUGGCAUAAUGAUCUUAAGUCGCCCGUCUUG